rnacentral:rRNA from 1 species
GCUGGAGAACUGAGGGGGGCUGCUCCUAGUACGAGAGGACCGGAGUGGACGCAUCACUGGUGUUCGGGUUGUCAUGCCAAUGGCACUGCCCGGUAGCUAAAUGCGGAAGAGAUAAGUGCUGAAAGCAUCUAAGCACGAAACUUGCCCCGAGAUGAGUUCUCCCUGAGACUUAGAGUCUCCUGAAGGAACGUUGAAGACGACGACGUUGAUAGGCCGGGUGUGUAAGCGCAGCGAUGCGUUGAGCUAACCGGUACUAAUGAACCGUGAGGCUUAACCUU